GUAUCUCUAGCUUAGAGGUAGUGUGUUAGGCUAACAAUCAAAUUUUGUCGGUAUGGGUUGCAGGUUCGAUUCCUUUUAGGUUCU